UGUUGGCUCGCUCGCUGAUUUCUGCUUAUCAAAAUAUUUGGUGCAUUUUAUCCAAGGACAGUAAUCUAUCUUUGCGUUCGAUGUAGAGCAAUUACGAAGAUAAAUUCCUCGUUAUCAUGGAGGACGAAAUUGAAGAAUGUAUUAGGAAAAAAAUACAGUGGCCCCAGUUGCCUGGCACUGUGAAAAAGCUAUUGGGCGACUCUCCCAAGGAGUAUGAGAGAUACAUAUUUGAAUUCAGCAUCAAAAAUCAGCUGCGGUACCGAGGAAGUCUUGUAAGAACUGUCCGCAAAGAUGAGAAGAAAUAUUAUGAGACACUCAUACACAGCAGCAUACAAAGACUUAUGCUGUACCCGUACCAUCUGGCCGACAUGAUAGUUAAAGGUUUAAGGAUAACCCCUUUUAUAUACUACGUGGAGGUGGUGGCUCUCCUAAUUGAGAUGGAGAAGAGUUACGACACCAUGCCUAACUUCACUGCGGCUGACUGUCUUCGGCUACUGGGUAUCGGUCGCAACGAGUACUUGGAGCUGGUGGCGCGUGCGCGGUCGCUGGGGCGGCGCGGGCGCAGCAAGGCCAUACGGGCGCUGCUGCCGCGGGUGCCGCUCAACAUCCCCAUGCAGCCGUGGUGGCGCGUCGAGCUCGGGUACGUGCUGGAGGAUGACGUCAAGCCGCUGAGUGAGAGCGAACGCGCGCUCAUCGACCUGCUGAUCGACCGCGGCUCGCAGACGGCUGGCUCGCUGGACUACAACGACGUCAAGACGUUAUACAGACGCGGUCUGGUCUACCUGGACGUGCCGAUAACGGCUGCGGACCGCGUGUCCGUGCCACCGCUGAAGGGCUUCGUCAUGAACCGUAUUGCGGGCGAUUACUUCGAGACGCUGCUCUACAAGGUGUUCGUAUCAAUCGAUGAACACACCACCGUGGCUGAGCUGGCUACUGUAUUACAGGUGGAAUGCGAGCUGGUGAAGCAGGCGGUGUCCCUGUACUGCCGGCUGGGGUUCGCGCGCAACCUGCAGCCCGCGCCCGCCGCCGCGCCGCACCGCAGCUGGCGCCACGCCGUCACCACGCACACGCAUGCGCCUUACAGACAAAUCAACCCUCUAUCGUUCGACGCCAGCGACGAGGACACGCUACAAAUGGAGCCUGUUCUCAUAAAACAGGAGCCGUCCACGUCCAAAGAGACUUACACAGAGCCAGAACCUCUACCAAGUAACCCUUCGAACGGCGGUACCAAGCGCGUGGCGUUACUGUUCGACUCGACCUUAGCAGCGUAUUUGAUGAUGGGCAACCUGUCUCCCGACCUGAAGAGCCACGCCGUCACGCUGUUUGAAGUCGGCAAGUUGUGCGACGAGAGUUUAGAUAGCUUGCUUAUGGAGCUCGAUAAGGUGGUAGGCGACCCGGAGAUCGAAGGCGAGGCGCGGCGCUACUUAGCGGCGGCGGCCUGUCUGCGUUCAGCGCUGCGGACGCUGAGACCGAAACUUCGCCCGUUAGACUUGCUGCGCUGUGAAGCUCUGCACGCGCUGGGGGGCGCGGCUCGAGCUCGGUUGCUGACUGCUAAGUACAGGGUGGCGCUGUCGACGGCGCCGCUGUGCCGCGAGGCGCGCGCAGGCGCGGCGGCCCGCGGGCUGCCGCACGUGGGCCCGGCGCCGCCCGAGGCCGCCUCGCCCUGGAUGCGGCUCUACCUCUACCACGUGGCCGGCUACGGCCCGCCCACACUGCUGCUCACCAAAGGCACGUUCGUGCGCGCGGUGCCGCGCCUGCUGCUGGGGUUCUCGCGGCUGCUGGUGGUGUGGUGGGGCGCGGAGGCGGCGCUGGAGGGCGCGGGCGCCGUGGCGGGCGCGCUGCCGGCCGCGGGCGCGCUGGCGGCCGCCAACGCGGCGCUGCGGCGCGGGCCCGUGCUGCUGCAGGCCGUGGGCGUGCGCCAGCCCGCCGCGCUCAAGCACCUCAUGUUCCCGCCAGCCGCUGACGCCGAAUCGCAGUCCCUAUGGACCCGCCACGCGGGACUGAGACGAUUGGCCCAACGACUGCGGCUGUCUCGCUCUGCGGGGUACGUGACCCUCGCCGACAUCGGAGUGCCGGACCUGGGCUGCGCGCCCACACCGCACAACGUGCAGCUCGUUCCACCAAGAAAAAAGAAAGACAUAUGCGGCAUAGCGAAGCCAGUGAGCGAGAUAUCGCUAUCGUCCACCGACUCAGCAGACAAGACGGAAGAGUUCAGCAAGAUGGUCAGCCGGCUGCAGUCGCCCAUAGAGUCGCACUUCGCCGUCACGCCCACCACGGGCAGCAAGACUGGCUCCCCGGCCAACGGGUUCACUACUGCUGAAGGAGGCAAACUCCUAUGCGAAGAGCUGGACAGCCUGGCGAUAAAUGACGACAAUCCCACACACCAGAGCAAGGAAUCCAUCGCCAACAGCGACGACCUGGUACCCAUACAUUCCACCUCCACCAGCACCGAAGACUUGAAGACCAAAGAAACGUCGAUAAGCAAAGAAUCGAUUCAAUUCGAUGAAAUAGUGCCGGUCCAUGCGACUGGUAAGGAGGCUAGUGAGGAGAAAACCGGCAAAUCGAUAAGCCAAUUGAACGAUUUGCUGAGUCCCGCGGAGGAAUCUAUAUCGAUGUUCACACAGCUGUCCGAUAAGUUGACGGAGAUGACGGAGGGUGAUAGCGGGGUGGACACCGCGCACAACUUCUCCGAUGAAGAGACUUGCAAGCCGGAGAAAUGGACUAUUUUAGAUCUCCAAUUCGGAAUUCCUUUAUUCGAUGAAACGCUUUGCGAAAAAAUAUGCAAUAGUAUAGUGGAAAGAUUAACAAACCCAGAAAUAUUAGAGAAAGUAAAAGAGGAUAAUGAAUUUAUCUGUUCCGAUGUUUUAAAGUUUGUUUCACAAUGUCAGUACUAUCCAGGCGAAGACAUGGGCAUAGUCAAACGUGGUACUCUAGUUCCUUUACCGAGGAAGAAUUUAGCUUUCGAGAACGGACGCAUCAGCGAAUGGGCCGGCAAAUGAUGCCGUCUCGUUCCCUCUCGCCAUUUCUUCCCAUCGAUCCGUAUGUGGAAAGAGUCGCACGUACAACUGUGUAUGCAAUUUCGAGCUUUAUUAGCCGAGGUAGUGAAAAGAUUUGGAGUAGUGAAUGUCGGCAUCACAUAUUUAUAGUCGUAUAAUGUGUUCAUCGUACACUGAGCCUAUUCAUAGUCGCGACAUGUAAUUGUAUACAUUAAACAUCAAAGAAUUAUUUAAAUUUGCCAUAAAAUAUAGAGUUAAACAGUCAAUUAUUUAUGUAUGUAUCGUGUCAUCUUUGAUUACUUUAUUAUUAUGUGAUAUUUGUGUUGAUCGUUUGUUUGUUUUAUAUUACAUGAGAAAGGUGUCGUAUCGUAUGUGGUAUUGCAGAUAAUCAACAAAACACAUUCUUCAUUUGCACGACUGCGUCUUGGUCUUCACGUGAUGAACAACCUAGCCUCCACUGAUACGCAAAACUCAGGUCGGGCCCCAACAUUUUCAUAUAAUUGAAUCUUUUCAACGCCACAUUAAAUAGAAAAGUUGUUACUCUGACGCUUCGCCCAAUAUGUCCGCAUUAAAAAGGUUAAAACUCCUCGAUAUCGAUUCGGCAACCGAUUUCAAUAAAUUCGAAAUUGAAAUUAUCCGCGCCGAUUAUGCCAGUGGACGAGCAUCGCAGCUCUACUUGUCUAGUGUUGUGUGUACUAGUGUUAUCGAUAAAAUUUUACCGAUUUGUUCGGCGAAGUAGUUAAUGCCAUCUGAGGCAAACCUACAAUAAGUGACGUCAAAACAAUAAAAUGUAGGUUUUUACCAUUUUAUACAGUUAAAAUCAACAUUGAUAGUAUGCACGUUAUUGUUGAAUAAAAUUAAGUAAUCGAAAAAUACCACAUCCAAUACCCCAUUUUAUACUUAAAUGCACUCUAGAUAUAGUACAAUAUUUAUUUUAUACCUAUACACUUAUUUUACUUACUACGCUACUUAGUAAUUGUAAAAGCCACCUUAAAUAUUACCAUGUUAUUACUUCUUACAUUCUAAUCUUUGGAAUCGUCAGUAUUUUUGUUAUAUUAGUUUUAAUGAACACGAGAUUUUAUUUCCUGUUGACUUGUGAUUGUAAAUGUAUGGGAAAAGUAUGGAGUGUAGGACAAAUAGAUGGAUAUCGAAAGUAGCCCUAAUGUUAUUUUCUUAGAAAUUUUAUCAGAUAUACGAAUGUUUUUGCGAUUUAAAAUAUAAAGGAAAACGAAAAGAACGCUUUUAGCCUCAUUUUUAGGUUUAACAAACUUAACAUGAUUAGAACAAUAGGGUAGUUUUCAACUAGUCAAAUAAGUUACUUUUUAGGUCAAAACACGAAAUAACUAUGGACUUUCUAUGAAAAACCAACCUGUGACGUUUAGAUAAACGUGACAAAAUGUCGCACUUAUUAAUACAUUUUUCUUUAGUAAAAUUCAUGAAUAAGUUAAAUAGAAAAAAAGAAAACGUUUUUUGCCGCUUUUUCGACCUUUGAUUUUUAUCUUUGACCUAGGAAACUACCCAAUUGCAGGACAGAGAAGGGUCCCUUUCGCACUAACGGUAUACAGCUUAGCACGAAAGAGAUAAAAGAUAUGUCAUUAAAUCAAGUUACGUUUGUUGGACCAAAGUUGUCUAUAGCACUUUGUUUAUCCAAAUUCUGUAAUAAGUAAUAAGGCAUUCAGUGUUGUUAAGGGUACAUUGUACCUAGGAAGAUCGUAGAAGGUUAGCCAACAUGUCAACAUGAAUAGUUUGGUAAAGAAAGACAUUGACCGAGAUUCUGUGUACUUGUGAAUUGGUCAAUUUUAUUACUAAUACAGCUUACAGUCCGCACUAGAUUGUUAAGGGAGGUAAAUUAGAAGGAUUAGGAGCAGUCACCUCUUUAGAUACAAAUACGCUGCACUAAAUAUUCUGUACGUAUUUGACUACUACUAAAUUUGA
rnacentral:misc_RNA from 1 species